rnacentral:rRNA from 1 species
AGUGAACGCUGGCGGUAGGCCUAACACAUGCAAGUCGAACGGCAGCACAGUAAGAGCUUGCUCCUACGGGUGGCGAGUGGCGGACGGGUGAGGAAUACAUCGGAAUCUGCUUUUUCGUGGGGGAUAACGUAGGGAAACUUACGCUAAUACCGCAUACGACCUACGGGUGAAAGCAGGGGAUCUUCGGACCUUGCGCGAUUGAAUGAGCCGAUGUCGGAUUAGCUAGUUGGCGGGGUAAAGGCCCACCAAGGCGACGAUCCGUAGCUGGUCUGAGAGGAUGAUCAGCCACACUGGAACUGAGACACGGUCCAGACUCCUACGGGAGGCAGCAGUGGGGAAUAUUGGACAAUGGGCGCAAGCCUGAUCCAGCCAUACCGCGUGGGUGAAGAAGGCCUUCGGGUUGUAAAGCCCUUUUGUUGGGAAAGAAAAGCAGCAGGUUAAUACCCCGCUGUUCUGACGGUACCCAAAGAAUAAGCACCGGCUAACUUCGUG